rnacentral:rRNA from 1 species
AAGUCAUAUGCUUGUCUUAAAGAUUAAGCCAUGCAUGUCUAAGUAUAAAUAGUAUACAGUGAAACUGCGAAUGGCUCAUUAAAACAGUUAUAGUUUAUUUGAUAGUGCACAUUACAUGGAUAACCGUGGUAAUUCUAGAGCUAAUACAUGCGCAAAUACCUGACUCACGAAAGGUAGCAUUUAUUAGAUUUAACCAUCAUAUGGUGAAUCAUAGUAACUUGGCGGACCGCGCUCCGGCGUGGUAAAUCAUUCAAGUUUCUGCCCUAUCAGCUUUCGAUGGUAGUGUAUUGGACUACCAUGGCAGUCACGGGUAACGGAGAAUUAGGGUUCGAUUCCGGAGAGGGAGCCUGAGAAACGGCUACCACAUCUAAGGAAGGCAGCAGGCGCGUAAAUUACCCAAUCCCAAUUCGGGGAGGUAGUGACAAGAAAUAACAACCUGAGUGGUUCGCCACUUCGGGAUUGCAAUGAGAUAAGUCUAAAUCCGUAAGCGAUUACCAAUUGGAGGGCAAGUCUGGUGCCAGCAGCCGCGGUAAUUCCAGCUCCAAUAGCGUAUACUUAAGUUGUUGCAGUUAAAAAGCUCGUAGUUGAAAAUCGAAUCAGCUUCAUUAUGGCUUCGGUCAUACUUGUUAGCUGGUUCUCCGUCUACAAACCUUUUUGCUCUUUUACGAGUGCAGCUUGGAGAGUAGACAAUUUACCUUGAAAAAAUUAGAGUGUUCCAGGCAGGUCUUCGCCGGAAUACAUUAGCAUGGAAUAAUGGAAUAGGACUAUGGUCUUUUGUUGGUUUUAGGGCCAGUGUAAUGAUUAAUAGGGACAGAUGGGGGCAUUAGUAUUUAAUUGUCAGAGGUGAAAUUCUUGGAUUUAUUAAAGACUAACUUAUGCGAAAGCAUUUGCCAAGGAUGUUUUCAUUAAUCAAGAACGAAAGUUAGGGGAUCAAAGACGAUCAGAUACCGUCGUAGUCUUAACUAUAAACUAUACCGACUCGAGAUCGGAAGGUGCUCAAUAAGGCCCUUUCGGCAUCGUAAGAGAAAUCAAAGUCUUUGGGUUCUGGGGGGAGUAUGGUCGCAAGGCUGAAACUUAAAGGAAUUGACGGAAGGGCACCACCAGGAGUGGAGCCUGCGGCUUAAUUUGACUCAACACGGGGAAACUUACCAGGUCAAAACAUGGAUGGGAUUGACAGAUUGAAAGCUCUUUCUUGAUUCUAUGGGUGGUGGUGCAUGGCCGUUCUUAGUUGGUGGAGUGAUUUGUCUGGUUAAUUCCGAUAACGAACGAGACCUUAACCUGCUAACUAGUUUGUACCUAAAAAAGGUAUAUAUCUUCUUAGAGGGACUAUGUAUGUUAAAUGCAUGGAAGUUUAAGGCAAUAACAGGUCUGUGAUGCCCCUAGAUGUCCUGGGCCGCACGCGCGCUACACUGACACGUUCAGCGAGUUUAAUCUCCUAUCUCGAAAGGGUAUGGGAAAUCUUGUUAGGACGUGUCGUGCUGGGGAUAGAUCUUUGCAAUUAUAGAUCUUGAACGAGGAAUUCCUUGUAAGCACAGGUCAUCAGCCUGUGCUGAAUACGUCCCUGCCCUUUGUACACACCGCCCGUCGCUCCUACCGAUUUCGAGUGAUGUGGUGAACUAUCUGGACUGUGGACGGGCUUGAACCGUUCGCGGGAAGUUUCGUAAACCUUAUCACUUAGAGGAAGGAGAAGUCGUA